GACGAACGCUGGCGGCGUGCUUAACACAUGCAAGUCGAACGGAAAGGCCCUGCUUUUGUGGGGUGCUCGAGUUGCUAACGGGUGAGUAACACGUGAGUAACCUGCCCUUUACUUUCGUAUAACUUCACGAAACUGGGGCUACUACCUCAUAUUAGCUCCUGCUGCAUGUUGUGGUUUGGAACGUUUCGGCCGUUGUGGUUGGACUCGUGGCUUAUCACCUUGGUGGUGGUGUAGUGGGUUACCAAGGCUUUGACGGGUAGCCGGCCUGAGAGGGUGACCGGCCAAAUUGGGAAUAAGAUACGGCCAAGAAGCAUACGGGAAGCAGCAGUGGGGAAAGUUGCACAAUGGGCGGAAGCCUGAUGCAGGAAAGACGAGUGCGGGAUGACGGACUUCGGGUUGUAAAACGCUUGCGCCUGUGACGAAACGUGAGUGACGGUAAUGGGAAAAGAAGCACAGGCUAACUACGUG
rnacentral:rRNA from 1 species